GACGUAGGGGGCCAGCGUUGUUCGGAAUUACUGGGUGUAAAGGGUUCGUAGGCGGUGUGGCAAGUCGGGAGUGAAAGCCCCCGGCUCAACUGGGGAGGGUCACUCGAUACUGAUCGACUUGAAGGUGGGAGAGGGAAGCGGAAUUCCCGGUGUAGUGGUGAAAUGCGUAGAUAUCGGGAGGAACACCAGUGGCGAAGGCGGCUUUCUGGCCCAUUCUUGACGCUGAGGCGCGAAAGCUAGGGUAGCAAACGGG
rnacentral:rRNA from 1 species